rnacentral:sRNA from 1 species
CACCGCCUGGGGAGUACGACCGCAAGGUUAAAACUCAAAUGAAUUGACGGGGACCCGCACAAGCAGUGGAGCAUGUGGUUUAAUUCGAAGAUACGCGCAGAACCUUACCAACACUUGACAUGUUCGUCGCGACUCUAAGAGAUUAGAGUUUUCGGUUCGGCCGGACGAAACACAGGUGCUGCAUGGCUGUCGUCAGCUCGUGUCGUGAGAUGUUGGGUUAAGUCCCGCAACGAGCGCAACCCUUACUUUUAGUUGCUACCAUUCAGUUGGGCACUCUAAAAGAACUGCCAGUGAUAAGCUGGAGGAAGGUGGGGAUGACGUCAAGUCCUCAUGGCCCUUACGUGUUGGGCUACACACGUGCUACAAUGGUACUUACAAUGAGAUGCGAAGAGGCGACUCUAAGCCAAUCCCAAAAAGGUACCUCAGUUCGGAUUGUACUCUGCAACUCGAGUACAUGAAGCUGGAAUUGCUAGUAAUCGCGGAUCAGCGCGCCGCGGUGAAUACGUUCCCGGGUCUUGUACACACCGCCCGUCACACCAUGGAAGUUGGUUACACCUUAAAGCAAAAUGUUAACCUUCGGGAAACAUUUGACUACGGUACGAUCAGCGACUGGGGUGAAGUCGUAACAAGGUAGCCGUAGGGGAACCUGCGGCUGGAUCACCUCCUUUCUAAGGAAAUCGAAAAUGUUAUUUUCGAUUUAAAAAAAACCGGUAAUGUGACCGUCCUCAUUUCUCUUCUUUUAAUGUUUCUGAGUAAAUGUAAGCAAGGGGCCGGUAGCUCAGGUGGUUAGAGCGCACCCCUGAUAAGGGUGAGGUCGGAAGUUCGAGUCUUCCUCGGCCCACCAAUAUUACGGGGGAUUAGCUCAGCUGGGAGAGCGCCUGAUUUGCAUUCAGGAGGUCAGCGGUUCGAUCCCGCUAUCCUCCACCAAAAUUUGAGACAUUUAGCUCUUUUAUAUCGUGAAUAUUAUUAUCAAUAUCUAUAUCCGAUUGUUUUUAAUUUUUUUAAAGACAAUCAAAACAAAAAUUUAAUUUAUUACAGAAAAAUUUUUUUCUG